rnacentral:rRNA from 1 species
ACUUACAUCUCUUCGGAGCAUUUUACGUAGGUGCUGUAUGGUUGGUCGUCAGCUCGUGCCGUGAGGUGGUCGGGUUAAGUCCCAUAACGAGCGCAACCCCUACCUUACGUUGCCAUCAGGUUAAGCUGGGGACUCUAAAGGAACUGCCUACGCAAGUAGUGAGGAAGGCGGGGAUGACGUCAAAUCAGCACGGCCCUUACGUCCAGGGCUACACACGUGCUACAAUGGCCGAUACAGAGGGCAGCUACCUGGUGACAGGAUGCAAAUCUCCAAAGUCGGUCUCAGUUCGGAUCGGAGUCUGCAACCCGACUCCGUGAAGUUGGAUUCGCUAGUAAUCGCGCAUCAGCCAUGGCGCGGUGAAUACGUUCCCGGGCCUU